CGGGUGAGUAACGCGUGGAAAACCUGCCGUAUACUGGGGAUAACACUUAGAAAUAGGUGCUAAUACCGCAUAAGCGCACAGCUUCGCAUGAAGUGGUGUGAAAAACUCUGGUGGUAUACGAUGGUUCCGCGUCUGAUUAGCUUGUUGGUGGGGUAAUGGCUCACCAAGGCGACGAUCAGUAGCCGGCCUGAGAGGGUGAACGGCCACAUUGGGACUGAGACACGGCCCAAACUCCUACGGAAGGCAGCAG
rnacentral:rRNA from 1 species